rnacentral:tRNA from 3 species
GACCCCGUAGCUCAGCUGGAUAGAGCAUCUGCCUUCUAAGCAGACGGUCAUUGGUUCGAAUCCAAUCGGGGCCA